GUUCUUCGGACAAAAUCGAUUCUGUUGUGCUGGAAACGGUAAGUCUUCAGCCUUUUUACGACUUCGUUUGAUAUAUUUCUUGGCAAACGCUAAAAAAUUUGUAGAACCGAUGUCCUGAAGAACAUCGUGCGAGUAAUCUGGAACAACAAGUGUAUUGGUUGAAGGUGGUGUACCGCAAAAAACUGAUGAAGCAUGUAGCGUGCUCCCGCUCAGCAACACCUGAAGAAUUGCAAAGAAAAAUUGAUCAGUUGGUUCGAAAUCCACGAACUCACUUACUGAAACUCCAGGGAUCAUAUUCUGUCGCGGAGUUGGAGAAAUGUCUUCACGAUAAGGUGUUGAAGCUCCAGGAGUUUAAACAGACACGAUGCAAGGUGGUUUGCUGGAGUGAAGGGAAGGUUUUGAACAGCAAUGCCUUAGUAAGUGACUUGAUGGAGAAAAGUUCACAGGAAGGAGGCUUAGUUAAGGUAAAAAAUCUGAAGC